GAACGCUGGCGGCGUGCUUAACACAUGCAAGUCAAACGGGUGAGUUGGUAGCAAUACCAGCAAGCUAGUGGCAGACGGGUGAGUAAUAUAUGGGAAUCUACCUUGUAGUGCGAAAUAACAGUUGGAAACGACUGCUAAUGUCGCAUAUUGCCGAGAGGUGAAAGAUUUAUCGCUACAAGAUGAGCCCAUACAAGAUUAGCUAGUUGGUGAGGUAAUGGCUCACCAAGGCUACGAUCUUUAGUUGGUCUGAGAGGAUGAUCAGCCACACUGGAACUGAGACACGGUCCAGACUCCUACGGGAGGCAGCAGUGGGGAAUAUUGGACAAUGGGCGAAAGCCUGAUCCAGCGACGCCGCGUGAGUGAUGAAGGC
rnacentral:rRNA from 1 species